rnacentral:misc_RNA from 1 species
CAAGAUUAAAAAAAUGUGCAAGUUGCCAUUUAAUUUCAUUUUUUAAAUGAACAAAACCAUGAGAUGAGAAGCUCUGGACCUUUCGUUAUUGGAGGAACUGCCAAUGAUGGCGGUGCAUUUUGGACGCUUCUGUUGAGACCUCCUCCAAUCUCCUCUUCCCGAUUCAAUCGUUAAAUCCAACUCCGCUCUUCUCGGUGAUCUUUUGACCUUCCUUUACCGGUCACGAUUUUCUUCUUUUUACGGUGAACACUGAUUAUAUGACCGUCAACGGCAAUGCGUUUAGCAAGAUGGAAGACGAUUACAUCAGAAGGCACCAUAAGCACGACGUUAAAGACCACCAGUGUAGCUCCUCUCUCGU